rnacentral:lncRNA from 1 species
UCCGGUGCAGUUGGGGCCACCAACCUUGCUAACUGAAGCGGAAACUCUUGACUUGUUAUCUUACAUUAACGGAAGCCCCCAGCAUCCUGGGAAGUUAUGGGGCUUACAGGUUAACUCUAGCCCUUACAUUGUCACUAAAAGUGUACUGUACCAUACACCUCCUCUGCUUCACGUUCCACAAAAGACAUGAUGGUGUACAGACAUGCAAAGAAGACCAACAGACAAAGGAGGGGUACUUAGGACCCAUGGUAGAAAAAGCAAGCAGGACACAACACAGCAGCCUGAAGACUCAAACUCCUUAAAAUCCCCUCCAAAUACUAUUAAACACACUACCUUUAAGACUCAUUUUCUACAAAAUGGACUGAUGAACCAGAACACUUGAAUUCUGCCGUGAGCUUUGGGAUGAGCUGAAAUUUAAAGAGAGAGGGAAUGCGUGUCCUUCUAAUACUGGGAAAGAAGAGUAUAAAAGGGCAACAGAUAGCAGUUGAUUGGUUGAUGUCCAUCAGCGGGAUGAAGAAAGAAAAAUCUCAGAUGGUUGCAAAAAAUCUAUACAGGAAUAUUCAUCACAGUAUGACCAGGCAAAUCUGUAUCUUCUCUUCUAUCCAGAGUGAAAACAUCUACUGUUCCCCGUGGAAUCUAAUACACAGCGAGAUCUAAUGAAACCAUUGUUUCAGAAUGAGAUCCCCUCACAUCUCUCUCUCAUCUAUCAUCUAUCUACCCACAAUGGAUCUAUGUAUUCACAAUAUGCACAUAUAUUAAAUGAAGCCCAUCAUAUAUAGUGGAUAAUAUAUAUGUGCUAUAUCUUAUACAUAUAUAAUAGAAUAUAUGAAAUAAUGUGACAUAUGCACAACAGCUGCUAAGGAAUGAAUGAGAGAAUGAAUUCUUAUUCCUAACAGGAAUAUUUAAACCAGAUGAUUCAUCUCUUGGCAAGUCUUCUGCUCCUUUAAAGCCUAAUGCCGUGACCCUUUAAUACAGUUCCUAAUGUUGUGGAGACCCCCCAACCAUAAAUUACUCUCAUUGCUAUUCAUAACUGUAAUUUUGUCACUGUUAUGAAUUGCAAUGUAUACAUCUGUAUAUGUCUUAGAUGACCCCUGUGAAGAGGUCAUUUGACUCCCAAAGGGGUUGUGACCUGCAUUUUGAGAAAUGCUGUUCUAGAUUGUGACGAAACACAGCCACAUACCUUUACCUGAAUAAUUUUAUAGAAACAUAUACAAGUUUUUGUAUUAUAAAUAUCCAUAAUGUACAAAGUGUAAUUUGGAAACAUGUAUCAGAAGUUGGUUCCUGCCUCUGGGAGAGGCAGGUAGCGGCUGUAGCAACUUGAGAAAGACUGACACUUCCUGUCUUUCUUUACGUAGUUGGAAAUUUUGGAUUGGGUACAUUUUCAUCACCGAAUGACAUACACAUAGAAAAAGUAUAUCACCUAACAAGAUUUUAAGUGCAUAUGCUUUUUGAUUCAAAUAUUUCUCUCCCGAGAAUAAUAUCCUGCAAACGCAUCC